UCACCCGGUGUCAAGAGCACACGGUCAGCGCUGAGCUGCGGGUGUAGCCCAAAGGACUUGAGACCUCGUGUUCUGGGAGAGGACAGACAGAGCUCACCGUCUCCAGCUGAGGAAGAGCUUUAAUUCUGGAGACAGGGGUGGAGUUAACUCCAUUAUAAGAAGACAGAAUGAGGAAGAAGUUGGUUUCCCAGAGGAAAAUUAGGAUUCCAGUUCUCUGUUGAUGUUCUUCAUCUUGUCAUCUAUGUUUUGUGCACACUAAUGG